rnacentral:rRNA from 1 species
AGCAUAUCAAUAAGCGGAGGAAAAGAAACUAACAAGGAUUCCCCUAGUAACGGCGAGUGAAGCGGGGUGAGCUCAAAUUUGAAAUCUGGCUGGUUUACUAGUCCGAGUUGUAAUUUAAAGAAGCGUUUUCGGUGGCAGCCUGGGUAUAAAUCCUUUGGAAUAGGGUAUCAUAGAGGGUGAGAAUCCCGUCUUUGACCUAGUGCAUGCUACUAUGUGAUACGUUUUCAAAGAGUCGAGUUGUUUGGGAAUGCAGCUCAAAAUGGGUGGUAAAUUUCAUCUAAAGCUAAAUAUUGGCGAGAGACCGAUAGCGAACAAGUACCGUGAGGGAAAGAUGAAAAGAACUUUGAAAAGAGAGUUAAACAGUGCGUGAAAUUGUUGAAAGGGAAACGUUUGACACCAGUCAUGUGGGUGGAAAAUCAGUCUUUUGCAUUGGGGAGUUGUAAGGGUUCGGACCGCAAGGCCGGCUUUUGCUUCAUCUUUGGUGUAAGUGAUGCACUUUUUCAUCUACAGGUCAACAUCAGUUUCUUUUGCUGGACAAAACUCCGAGAGAAGGUAGCAGCUUAGGCUGUGUUAUAGCUCUGGAGCGAUACAGUGAAGGGGACUGAGGUUUUCGCAGCGUGUGCUCUCGGGCAAGGCUGGAUGGGUGCUAUGGGAUCGUUCGGGGUACAAUGCCUGGCAUUUUGCUUCGUGUCUUUUCUAUACUCGCUCAACUCAGCUCUUCCACGCUUAGGAUGUUGACUUAAUGGUUUUAAACGACCCGUCU